UCUCGGGAGAGUUGCAGCUAAGCUUUGUAAAUCUUCUAGCAUAAUCAAUGAUUGAGAGGCUUCUCUAGUUAAGUUGGGCGAAUUCUAUCUCCUUCUGAUGAUGAAUGUGCUCAAAAAAAUAUUCGACAUUAAAUGCCUUCAAGAAGUGCUCCCAUGUGAUGGGCAUGGAUAGAGUAGUUUGCUUAACUUCCCAUCAGCGCUCUGCUUCUCCCUCAAGCAUAAAGGUGGCGAAGAAAACCUUUUAUUCAUUAGCAUCCAAAAUCCAUCAUCUCAGUAUCAUA
rnacentral:lncRNA from 1 species